AACUUGGGCUUGCCCCCCAUAUUUAUCUAUCCCUUCACUUGACGCGGUUGGGGAGAGACUCCCACUUGGAGCAGCCACGGCGAGAGAGGAUUUCUCUCUCGAGCAAUCACUCGGGAAAUGACCAACCCAACGCUUCGAAGCUCGCGCGUAUCGCACUACGAUCGGAGCAGUGGACUCGCCGGCGCAGCGAUUCGGGCCCCGGCUUCUUUCGUCUUCAAGCUCUUCGCCACAGUCAUCGCCUUCACCAUCUUCCUCUUCUUCACCGCCUCUCUCCACCUCACUUCCUCCACCGACUCCCCCGACAUCAACGUCGGCUCGAAUACAGUUGGCCUGAUCCGGAGGAACAUUUUAGCGUUGAAAUCUGAUCCAUUGAAGCCGCGGCUGGAUCAGAUCAGGAAGCAAGCGGAGGAUCAUCGAUCGCUUGCUCUCGCUUACGCUUCGUAUGCUCGGAAGCUGAAGCUGGAGAACUCGAAGAUCGUUAGGGUUUUCGCUGAUCUGUCUCGGAACUACACGGAUCUGGUCUCCAAACCUGCCUAUCGGGCGCUGUUUGACUCGGAUGCGAGCUCAAUUGAUGAAUCGGUGCUUCGGCAAUUCGAGAAGGAGGUGAAGGAGCGGAUCAAGGUUACGCGGCAAGUAAUCGCGGAGGCGAAGGAGUCUUUCGAUAAUCAGCUGAAGAUUCAGAAGUUGAAGGACAGCAUUUUUGCCCUUAAUGAACAGUUAACGAAGGCGAAGAAACAAGGGGCGUUCUCGAGCUUGAUUGCAGCGAAAUCGAUACCGAAAAGCCUGCACUGUGUCGCUAUGAGGUUGAUGGAAGAAAGAAUCGCGCAUUCGGAAAAGUACACGGACGAAGGGAAGCCGACGCCUCCCGAGUUUGAAGACCCGAAGCUUUACCACUAUGCCAUUUUCUCGGAUAAUGUGGUUGCAGCGUCAGUUGUGGUGAACUCGGCGGUGAAGAACCAAAAGGAGCCAUGGAAGCACGUGUUUCAUGUGGUGACUGAUAAGAUGAAUCUAGGAGCAAUGCAGGUUAUAUUCAAGAUGAAGGAUUAUAAUGGAGCUCACAUUGAGGUGAAGGCGGUGGAGGAUUAUAAGUUUUUGAAUUCUUCAUACGUUCCGGUGCUUCGACAGCUUGAAUCUGCAAACUUGCAGAGGUUUUACUUUGAGAAUAAGCUUGAAAAUGCAACCAAAGAUACGACCAACAUGAAAUUUAGGAACCCCAAGUAUUUGUCGAUGCUGAAUCAUCUGAGGUUUUAUUUGCCUGAAAUGUAUCCGAAGUUGCACAGGAUCUUAUUUUUGGAUGAUGAUGUGGUUGUUCAGAGGGACCUAACAGGGUUAUGGAAGAUAGACAUGGAUGGAAAGGUGAAUGGAGCUGUUGAGACUUGUUUUGGGUCAUUCCACCGGUAUGCACAAUACAUGAAUUUCUCACACCCUUUGAUAAAAGAAAAGUUUAAUCCCAAGGCGUGUGGAUGGGCUUAUGGGAUGAAUUUCUUUGAUUUGGAUGCUUGGAGAAAGGAGAAAUGCACUGAACAAUAUCAUUAUUGGCAGAACCUGAAUGAGAACCGGACCCUCUGGAAAUUGGGAACCUUACCACCUGGUCUGAUCACAUUUUAUUCCACAACAAAGCCACUAGACAAAUCCUGGCAUGUUCUUGGGCUUGGCUAUAAUCCAAGCAUAAGCAUGGAAGAGAUUAGCAAUGCUGCAGUUGUGCACUUCAAUGGUAAUAUGAAACCAUGGCUGGAUAUUGCUAUGAACCAAUUUAAGCCACUUUGGACAAGAUUUGUUGACUAUGACAAUGAGUACAUCCAGGCCUGCAAUUUUGGCCUUUAGAAAAAUUCUCAGUUGAAGCCCAUGCUUGAAGGAUCUGAAAAUCCUAGUCCUGGUGCUAGUUCUGUUUUGUUUCUAGAUUUUGCUAAUAGAUUGUUGGACGAGAUUGGGGAUUAGUUAGUUACUGGCGUAUAGGGAGGAGGAAGGUGGAGAAGCUCAAUAUGUGAAAAAGCAAAGAAGACGGUAGUUUUCGGCGUCUUGAUAAAAACUGCCUUCUAGAGGCCUGCCAUACUACACUACAAGUAAACAGUCUUCUGAGAUUGGUGGUGUUUUCGCAAGAGAGAUUGUGAGACCUGUGUAUACUCUCCUAGUCAUUAUCUCUAAAAUAAAGAGUUUUUGUCCUGGAGAAGAAGGAGGUGUCCCUUGCAUUGACAGCUUGAAUUUUCCCAUACCUUGUUGUAAUGACAUUCAUAGAUUAAAAGUAAUGAGAAUUGCAACUUGGGACACUUGAAA